UAAAUGCCACAUAAGAGAGAGAGGGGAUAGCAGAUUUAUUUGAAGGUUGGAAAACCUUUCGGCUGUUAAUUUGAAUAUUCAUAGAUAAACCAUUCAAAAUUGGUACCUCUAAAUUACAUACGACGUCGGAAACCCCUCACUCCACGAUCACUCCGGUGCCGCCGGAAACCCCUCCCUCCACCGCCGGAUCAACGACGUUGCUCGGUCGUUUCAGGCUCUACCAUAGUCUGUCAUCACAGAUCGAAGCCAUUCGUCUCAUUGACUCGACAGUCCUCACUUGCCACUCUGCUCGAAACAGGUAACCUAAUUGGCAACAUUAAUUAUUCCCCCACAUAGAAACACAGAUUGGAUUACACAUUUGUUUUCAUUCCACAACUUCCACUUUUUAUUCACUUUAAAGUACGAUGGGAUGAACAUCCAUCCACCUUGUCUCCUUAAUUUGAUUUCUUGUACACAACACUAUGCUUCUCAUUAGUUUAAAAUUCAUUGAGAAACUAGUUAUUGAAAGUUGCACGCCAGGUGUUCGAUGAAAUGUCGAGAAGAAAAACCAUUUGUUUUAAGGCCGAAUGUCAGUUGUUUACUACAACUGAGUCACAACGGUAACUUUUGGUAUAAAUUGGCUGAUUGAUUUACAGGAUCUACUCUGGUAGACCAAAAUCUGGAUGAUACUGAUAUUAUCUAUAUAUAACAUUUUGUGUCGGACCUUGUGAACAGUACCUCAAUUAGCCAAAAUUUGGAGGUCUUUUACGGUUCUGCCAUUAUGCGUUUUUGGUGCGGUAGAGAGAGGGGACCAGAGAAUAGGUUAUAGAGAGACAAAAGAAAAAUAGAGAGAGAGAGCGUGAACGGAAGCGGAUCCGGCCAUGGCCUGCGGCCGGCCACCCUGUUUCGGUGACCAUCUCCGUCUUCUUCUGCUACCUGUUCCAGCUGCGAUGGGUCUGGAACAAAGGUUAACGUUGACGAUGAACUCAACGGAAGAGACCAUGAUGUUAGCGACGUUAUCGGUAGUGCCUAGGGUUCCAGGAGAACUCCGACGAGUCAGAUCUCCCGUUUUGGUGUAGCUUGGCAAACACUGAGGUUUACCGACAUUGUGGUUAAAUAUGAAGGUUUUCUUAUAAACAUCCAAAAAUUUGACAAAGACUUGUGGUCACGAGCUGAGGGCAAGAAUAAAGGAAAAGUGUACGGGUUAGGCAAUGAUAGUGACCCGUGUGUACAUAGCGGAGAGGACCCGGAGAUUGAAAAGUUUAACUUAGUUAUCAAGGAGCUCGUUAAGGAAAAAGAUGAAGAAAAAGAAAGCACUUGAAGCUAUUUAGCUUCUAGCACUUGAAUUGUAGCUCACAGUUAUUGAAAAGUUUAACUUAGUUAUCAAGGAGCUCGUUAAGGAAAAAGAUGAAGAAAAAGAAAGGUUCAAUGGAAUUAUUGCGGGGUUGUUGGCUGACAAAGAAAAAGAUAAGGUGGAUAAAGAUGCGCUGCUUGAUAGCAUGUCACAAAUUGAAGCUAUGUUAACAGCUACAGUUCGAAGAUAGGCUAUAAACAAUUGGUUUUGAAUGUUUAGAUGUUUAUCUUAUUAAGAUAAUUUUAAUUAGUUUAUAUUUUAGUUGGUAUCUUUUAUACGCUUUUGAAAACAAGGUGUUUUAUAUAAUUUGGGAUUUUAUUA